rnacentral:tRNA from 1 species
UGGGAGCUGAUGUAACCGGCAGCAUGGUUGCCUCUGAAGCAGCUCGUCCAGGUUCGAAUCCUGGGCUCCCAGC